GCGCACGCAGGCGGUCUGUCAAGUCGGAUGUGAAAUCCCCGGGCUCAACCUGGGAACUGCAUUCGAAACUGGCAGGCUAGAGUCUUGUAGAGGGGGGUAGAAUUCCAGGUGUAGCGGUGAAAUGCGUAGAGAUCUGGAGGAAUACCGGUGGCGAAGGCGGCCCCCUGGACAAAGACUGACGCUCAGGUGCGAAAGCGUGGGGAGCAAACAGGAUUAGAUACCCUGGUAGUCCACGCCGUAAACGAUGUCGACUUGGAGGUUGUGCCCUUGAGGCGUGGCUUCCGGAGCUAACGCGUUAAGUCGACCGCCUGGGGAGUACGGCCGCAAGGUUAAAACUCAAAUGAAUUGACGGGGGCCCGCACAAGCGGUGGAGCAUGUGGUUUAAUUCGAUGCAACGCGAAGAACCUUACCUACUCUUGACAUCCAGAGAACUUUCCAGAGAUGGAUUGGUGCCUUCGGGAACUCUGAGACAGGUGCUGCAUGGCUGUCGUCAGCUCGUGUUGUGAAAUGUUGGGUUAAGUCCCGCAACGAGCGNCACCCUUAUCCUUUGUUGCCAGCGGUUAGGCCGGGAACUCAAAGGAGACUGCCAGUGAUAAACU
rnacentral:rRNA from 1 species